UGGGGAAUAUUGCACAAUGGGCGGAAGCCUGAUGCAGCGACGCCGCGUGAGGGAUGACGGCCUUCGGGUUGUAAACCUCUUUCAGUAGGGACGAAGCGUAAGUGACGGUACCUACAGAAGAAGCACCGGCCAACUACGUGCCAGCAGCCGCGGUAAUACGUAGGGUGCGAGCGUUGUCCGGAUUUACUGGGCGUAAAGAGCUCGUAGGCGGUUUGUCACGUCGUCUGUGAAAACCCGAGGCUUAACCUCGGGCCUGCAGGCGAUACGGGCAGACUUGAGUACUGUAGGGGAGACUGGAAUUCCUGGUGUAGCGGUGGAAUGCGCAGAUAUCAGGAGGAACACCGGUGGCGAAGGCGGGUCUCUGGGCAGUAACUGACGCUGAGGAGCGAAAGCGUGGGUAGCGAACA
rnacentral:rRNA from 1 species